CCCUCCAAGCAGCCUACCCUGGCUUCCUUAGUUCAGAGCAGCCUCUACCUCUCUUGAAUGUCUAUAGAAUUGGCUCUCUGUGCAUCUCCUUUCACACUUAGCACAUGAUCUUGGGGUUGUUCAUUGUGCUGCUAUGGGGAAGAGGCUAUUGGACUCAGGAAAUCUGGCUUCAAAGCCUGUUUGACUUUUAAUGUGUUAGUAAAUCUUUCUGUGCUGUGAUUUUCUUUUUUUGUAAAUAAAUGCAGAGUCUUAUUGUAUUAUAAUUCCAUUGUGAGGAUUAAAACAACCUAGUGUGUAGGAUAUGACUAAUAAACAGUUGGUGCCCAAUAACUGGUUAUAGAAUAAAUGCAUGGUUUUCUCCUCCCAUUAAUGCUUCUUCAGUGUGAGGGUUCAGGUAUUGGCAGGGGCCAGGUCCUGCUUGUUGAGGCUGUGAGGACCUGAGAGCCCAGCCUGGGAGUGGAUGAGGCAGGCAGGGAGAGUGCUAGCUGACCCCUGAGUGUCCGGAUGACAGGACCCGUUGCUCUCCAGGCCAUUGUUCCUGCUUGCCCUGCCUCCAUGGCAGGGGCAGGCACAGUUCUAGGCUCACUGUAGGGUGCUGAGAAGCUGCGGCUCACUGCCAGCGAUUAUUGCAAAUCUCCUUUGUGCUCUUGGUCCCCAGGAAUCUGUCUGCUGUCUUUCUGAGAUUCUUAAACAGGUUCUCAAAUCCCACCCCCAGGGAUUCCUGCCUCUCUUUUGUUGGUCACAAAGAGCCCUACUUUUCUAAUAAGCUGCUAAGGAGCUGUCAAUUACAGAUGCAAAUGAAGAGGCCGGAAACCAUUACUGGCCCAGAAAUGAACUGAAGGAACAGCUUCCCUUCAGGCUCCUCGGGUGGCCCCUGCCCUGCCCUGGGAGAGCGGGACCAGGGGCAGGACAAGGGGGCUGCCUGCCCAGGCCCCACGGCCAACAGCACAUCCACAUUGGGCUUCCUUCUUCCCAUGUGACACCUUCUGCUCUGGGAGCUGCCGCUCAGAAUCAGCCUGACAGUGGCGACUUGGAGGUGCCCAGCACUGCCCAGGUUCCCUGGAUAACCCACGAGAUCCAGUAACACCGGAUCGUUCUUCAGGUUUCCU
rnacentral:lncRNA from 1 species